UGAGGAAUUGUUUCAUGUGUUUUGCAUAAGAGGGAAUUUGUUGCAGUGCUUCGGUCAAGGUCAUAGUAAUCUCCAAUUUCUUGACGACAUCCAUGAAAAGCCCAAAUUGCUUCUCUUUCUCCUUUCUUGAGAACACUUUAGGGUAAGGAAGAGACUUCUCAAUUUCUUUUUCUUUUCUUUUCUCAUCUCCCUCUUUAUUUUUCUCUCCUCUAGCAUUUUCAUUUUUUUCGCUCUCAUCCCCUAAUUUUCUCUCCUCAUUCUCUGUUACACUAUUUUUCUGUCCACUCACUUUUUCUAUCUCCUCAGCUUUCUUUUCUUUGUCAUCUCUCUCUCUCUCUCAGCCAAAACCUAACAACUUCUAGUAGUGAUAACAUUGCAUUCUUCCUUUGAAUUAACCUCAAUAUUGGAUCCAAAACCCUUGUCAGACUUCUCUCCCUUGGAUCUCCAAAUUCCUUAUAGAAGCUUCAGUGCUUUUGGGAUUGAAUAUGGAGACUUGCAUGAAUUAUUGGAGAGUGCCCUCUAAUUUAGAAGUCCUGUCUGAUAGAGAAGGGUAUGGUUGAUAUUGUUGUUGUGGUGGUCUGUUUGAUGGUUCAGCUUGUCCUUGGCCCAUGCUUGGGAUUGGUCUCCAACCUUGGUUGUAGUUGCUUUGCCGGUUUUGAUUACCCAUAUAAUUUACAUCUUCUUGGGUAUGGCCUGCUUAACACACUAACCAUUUGUAUGCUCUUCACCACACAAUUCACACCCUUGAUGUUGGGCGUGAGACACAUUUUGGAGCCCUUGCAACUGAGAGACUUUAUUCAUGAGAAUGUCAAGUUGUUGGGUAAUUAUUUUGUUUUGAGCUAAAAUGGCAUCACGAGAAUGUAGUUGGAAAAUACCUUUUUGUUGCCCCCUUUGAUUCUGCUAUUCAUUAUUAUUAGCAGUCAUGUUCUCAAUUAGCUCAUGGGCUUCUUCUGGUGUCUUCCAACGGAUGUUACCUCCAGUUGAGGCAUCCAACACCAACUUGGUUUGGGAUCUCA
rnacentral:lncRNA from 1 species